rnacentral:misc_RNA from 2 species
AAUUCUCAACUUCAACACUUUUUUGUAUUGAAGCUUGGAUGUUGGAGGGUUUGCAGGCAUACAUUAAUGUCAGCUCCUCUUAAAUGCAUUAGCAGAACUUGUACGUUCGGCUCUGGUUUGAUAAUCCUAUCUAUGCCAUUGCUGAAAUGUCAAUUGUUCAGCUUCUAAUGGUCCAUACUAUUGGACUGUCUCUUCGGAGGCAUACUUUUG